CGGGCGCCAGGGGCUGGCACUGCAGCGGGCACCGGCGCCGCCGCACCACCCAGGGCAGGAGGCAGCUGGCGCAGAAGACGUGUCCGCACGAGAGCUGAGGCCCGCUUACAAUGGCCCUUGGGAAAGCUGUGCUUCCUUUGCCUGAACGGCGAACUUCAAGCAGUCCUCAGGCAGAGCUGAUAAUGAGCACAGCGCAGAUGCUGAGGAACAACUUCUAAUUCCACCAGAAUGUAAACUCUCGGAGAGCCGGAUUUUUGUCCAUCGGUGUUCCGCUGGAUUCUCAUCGCCCCGCAUCCAGUGGAUCUUCAGUAAUGUGUUUGAAAUACAUGCACUUCCGUUCUUUCAUAUCAGCCAACUACAAAAUCACCAGCUAAGUAGCCGAGACCUUAGGAAAGCACUCUCAAGUGCCUACAGGAGCCAGGCUUCUCAAAUCAGGAUCCAGAAAUAAGAGAGAAGAAUGUACCACUGAAAGCAACUUUGAACGUGAGCUAAGUAAGUUUUCUUCCUUCUGGAAUUUUCUAUCUGGAUUAUAGAAAUCCCCAAGAGCAACCUCUCAUCUAUGUUGCAAAUCUUGCUCACCAAUUUUGUAGUAUCAUUUGCCUUUAUUCGAUAUGUGUAUUUUUUAAA